rnacentral:rRNA from 1 species
GACGAAGGAUGCAAGCGUUAUCCGGAUUCAUUGGGUUUAAAGGGUGCGUAGGCGGACUUGUAAGUCAGUGGUGAAAUCUCUUUGCUUAACAAAGAAACUGCCAUUGAUACUGCUAGUCUAGAGUAUAGAUGACGUUGGCGGAAUAUGACAUGUAGUGGUGAAAUACUUAGAUAUGUCAUAGAACACCGAUUGCGAAGGCAGCUAACGAAACUAUAACUGACGCUGAGGCACGAAAGUGCGGGGAUCAAACAGGAUUAGAUACCCUGGUAGGCCGCCCCGUAAACGAUUAAUACUCGUUGGUGGCAAUAUGGCCGUCAGCGACCAAGCGAAAGCGAUAAGUAAUCCACCUGGGGAGUACGCCGGCAACGGUG